rnacentral:tRNA from 1 species
ACAACGAUAGUUUAAAAAAAAAAUUUAGGAUUGUGGCGCCUAGGAUGCUGUUUGGUUCGUUGUA